rnacentral:rRNA from 1 species
CCGGGCGACCGGCGGCACGGGUGAGUAACACGUAUGCAACCUGGCCGUGACAGAUGGAUAACCGGGAGAAAUCCCGCCUAAUACAACAUAAUGCCGGGAGGGGACAUCCCCUGCCGGUCAAAGGGGGCGACCCCGGUCAUGGAUGGGCAUGCGGCGCAUUAGGUAGUUGGUGGGGCAACGGCCCACCAAGCCGACGAUGCGUAGGGGUUCUGAGAGGAAGGUCCCCCACAUUGGAACUGAGACACGGUCCAAACUCCUACGGGAGGCAGCAG